UACGUAGGGGGCAAGCGUUGUCCGGAUUUAUUGGGCGUAAAGAGCGUGUAGGCGGCCAGUUAGGUCCGUUGUGAAAACUCGAGGCUCAACCUCGAGACGCCGAUGGAAACCAACUGGCUAGAGUCCGGAAGAGGAGAGUGGAAUUCCCGGUGUAGCGGUGAAAUGCGCAGAUAUCGGGAAGAACACCCGUGGCUAAGGCGGCUACCUGGACAAUUGCUGACGCUCAGGCACGAAAGCGUGGGGAGCAAAAGGG
rnacentral:rRNA from 1 species